rnacentral:rRNA from 1 species
AGUGAACGCUGGCGGUAGGCCUAACACAUGCCAGUCGAACGGUAGCACACUUAGCGCUUUCUCUUACGUGUGGCGAUUGCCGGACGGGUGAGAAAUCCUUCGGAAUCUACUUUUUCGUUGUGGAUAACGUCGUGAAACUUACGCUAAUACCGCAUACUCCCUACGUGUCGCAUCAGGGGUUCUUGGGACAUUUCGCUUCGGUGUGAGCUGAUGUCGGAUUAGCUCGUUGUCGGGGUAAGGGGACACCAAGCCGACGAUCCGUAGCUGGUCUGACAGGAUGAUCAGCGACAAUGGAACGGAGACAAGGCCGAGAAGCCUACGGGAGGAAGCAGUGGGGAAGAAUGGAGAAUGGGCGGAAGACGGAUGAAGCCAUGACGCGGGGGGGAAGAAGGAGUUCGGGUUGUAGAGACCUUUUGUUGGGAAAGAAAAGGGGCAGGUUAGUUUCCCGGUGUUCUGACGGUACCCAAAGAAGAAGCACCGGCUAACUUCGUG